rnacentral:rRNA from 1 species
UCUAGGUACCUGCGGGAAGAUCAUUAUGGAAUUGUGAAAGAGGUUGUAGCUGAUCAAAAACAAGAUAUGUGCACACCUCAUUUCCAAAUUUUACACCAUGUGCACUCUUUGUAGGCCGACUUUUGUUUGGUCUAUGUCUUUUUAAAUAAACCCAAAAGUUUCAGAAUGUUAAAUCAUAAGCUUGUUUUGCAAGCUGAAAAAAUUAAUACAACUUUCAACAACGGAUCUCUUGGCUCUCGCAUCGAUGAAGAACGCAGCGAAAUGCGAUAAGUAAUGUGAAUUGCAGAAUUCAGUGAAUCAUCGAAUCUUUGAACGCACCUUGCGCUCCUUGGUAUUCCGAGGAGCAUGCCUGUUUGAGUGUCAUUAAAUUCUCAAUCCUCUUCAAACUUGCUUUGUAGAGGCUUUGGACUUGGAGUGUUGCUGGCCUUGUGUCGGCUCCUCUUAAAUGUAUUAGCUUGGAUCAUUUUGCAGAUAAGCUUUAGUUUGAUAAAUAUCUAUGCUAAUUGCUUUUGAAACAAAUUGCCAGCUUCCAAUUGUUGUUGUUUAUAACAACUCUCUUUGAUAUUUUGACCUCAAAUCAGGUAGGACUACCCGCUGAACUUAAGCAUAUCAAUAAGCGGAGGAAAAGAAACUAACAAGGAUUCCCCUAGUAACUGCGAGUGAAGCGGGAAAAGCUCAAAUUUAAAAUCUGGCAGUCUUUGAUUGUCCGAGUUGUAAUCUAGAGAAGUGCUUUCCGCGUUGGACCGUGUACAAGUCUCUUGGAACAGAGCUUCAUAGAGGGUGAGAAUCCC